GAAAUGCGAUAAGUAAUGCGAAUUGCAGAAGUCAGUGAAUCAUCGAAUCUUUGAACGCACAUUGCGCCCGCCAGUAUUCUGGCGGGCAUGCCUGUUCGAGCGUCAUUUCAACCAUCAAGCCCCCGGGCUUGUGUUGGGGACCUGCGGCUGCCGCAGGCCCCGAAAACCAGUGGCGGGCUCGCUGUCACACCGGGCGUAGUAGAUUUUUCGUCUCGCCCAGGGCGUGCUGCGGGUUCCGGCCGUUAAAAAGCCUCUCUUUUUAACCCAAGGUUGACCUCGGAUCAGGUAGGAAGACCCGCUGAACUUAAGC
rnacentral:misc_RNA from 1 species